UACGAAGGGGGCUAGCGUUGCUCGGAAUCACUGGGCGUAAAGGGUGCGUAGGCGGGUCUUUAAGUCAGGGGUGAAAUCCUGGAGCUCAACUCCAGAACUGCCUUCGAUACUGCGGGUCUCGAGUCCGGGAGAGGUGAGUGGAAUUCCUAGUGUAGAGGUGAAAUUCGUAGAUAUUCGCAAGAACACCAGUGGCGAAGGCGGCUCACUGGCCCGGUACUGACGCUGAGGUGCGAAAGCGUGGGGAGCAAACAGG
rnacentral:rRNA from 1 species